UUCAAUAACCUAUCUAUCCCUAGUUUCGGUUACUAAAGAUAGACAAAUCUAUAUUUUUGUCCUUACUUACGUUCCAAUAACCUAUCGACGGGCAGCAGUUCCUAUCGGAUUUAUCUAUCCAUCGUCAGGAGGACGGAUAGCCUGCUAAAGAUAGAACGCUCAUACAAAUCGUGCUUACUUCCGUUUCAAUAUGAGUUUUAAGUAACUCUCCGGUAGGCGGCGCUAUCUCUAGUAUGGGCAUUCGCUUAUCUGUCAAAAUCGGCCGGUUACAUGUUUAUCUUUCGAAAGUAAAUCGCUAUAAUUUAAUAAUUGUUUCUCUUCAUAUUGGCAUAUUGUAGCAGUGAUGAUAGUGAUAUGGAAUUAUUUCAAAUGAUAAUGGAUUGUGAUGCAGAUAGUGAUAGUGAGGCCGAUAUCAUAUGGUUAGGAAAACAAAGAUCGUCUGAAUUACAUGGCGAAGAUCAAUAAUUACGAAUUUGACUAUAGAUUUCUGAGCAAAGGUGUUGUGAAUGAAUUGAUUAAUUUAAUGAGACCAUAUUUGAGUGUAACGUCAAAAAGAUUCAAAUAUAGGAGAGGAAUUUAGAAAUAGAAAAAGAGUAUUUUGAAUGUGUAAUUUGUGUGCAAUGCAUCAUUGAUGUUUCAAAAUGUUGUUGCUUGAUGGCCUGGGUCUACUCAUGAUACAACUAUAAUUAACCAUUCCGAUUGAAAAGAUGCAUUGGUGUUUGUAAAAGAAGACUCCCUGUAUAUCAUUGAAAAGUAGAUUAAAACUAGAAAAUAUGCAAGCUGUUAUUAUAGCUGCCAUGCUGCAUAAUAUCGUCAGAAGUAUGAAUUUAGAAGAAUUAGAAUCAGAAAUUUCAGUCGCAGAUACAUUACAGGAAAAUAAUAUAAUUGUUCGUAACAAUUUUUCAAAACUUACAUCUGAAAUACAACUAUGUACUUAUAAAUAAUUGCUUCCAAAGAUAAUUUAUAAAAUAAACUCCAAAGAUAA